GCGUAUAUUAAAGUUGUUGCAGUUAAAAAGCUCGUAGUAGGAUUUCGGGGCGGGCCGAGCGGUCUGCCGAUGGGUAUGCACUGUUCGGCGCGUCCUUCUUUCCGGAGACUGCGCCUACUCUUAGCUGAGCGGGCGUGGGAGACGGAUCGUUUACUUUGAAAAAAUCAGAGUGUUUCAAGCAGGCAGCUCGCUCUUGCAUGGAUUAGCAUGGGAUAAUGAAAUAGGACUCUGGUGCUAUUUUGUUGGUUUCGAACACCGGAGUAAUGAUUAACAGGGACAGUCAGGGGCACUCGUAUUCCGUCGAGAGAGGUGAAAUUCUCAGACCAAUGGAAGACGAACCACUGCGAAAGCAUUUGCCAGGGAUGUUUUCACUGA
rnacentral:rRNA from 1 species